rnacentral:rRNA from 1 species
UACGUAGGGUGCAAGCGUUGUCCGGAAUUAUUGGGCGUAAAGAGCUCGUAGGCGGUUUGUCGCGUCUGCUGUGAAAACUCGGGGCUUAACUCCGGGCCUGCAGUGGGUACGGGCAGACUAGAGUGCGGUAGGGGAGACUGGAAUUCCUGGUGUAGCGGUGAAAUGCGCAGAUAUCAGGAGGAACACCGGUGGCGAAGGCGGGUCUCUGGGCCGUAACCGACGCUGAGGAGCCAAAGCGUGGGGAGCGAACAGG